CGACUGUUGUGAUGAUGACGACAUCCGUCUUGUCCUGAAACAAUCAUGUGGGUUUUCAGUCACUACCUCAUCUGAACAGUCA